rnacentral:rRNA from 1 species
GAACGCUGGCGGCAGGCCUAACACAUGCAAGUCGAACGGUAACAGGAAGAAGCUUGCUUCUUUGCUGACGAGUGGCGGACGGGUGAGUAAUGUCUGGGAAACUGCCUGAUGGAGGGGGAUAACUACUGGAAACGGUAGCUAAUACCGCAUAACGUCGCAAGACCAAAAAGGGGGACCUUCGGGCCUCUUGCCAUCGGAUGUGCCCAGAUGGGAUUAGCUAGUAGGUGGGGUAACGGCUCACCUAGGCGACGAUCCCUAGCUGGUCUGAGAGGAUGACCAGCCACACUGGAACUGAGACACGGUCCAGACUCCUACGGGAGGCAGCAGUGGGGAAUAUUGCACAAUGGGCGCAAGCCUGAUGCAGCCAUGCCGCGUGUAUGAAGAAGGCCUUCGGGUUGUAAAGUGCUUUCAGCGGGGGGGAAGGGAGUAAAGUUAAUACCUUUGCUCAUUGACGUUACCCGCAGAAGAAGCACCGGCUAACUCCGUGCCGGCAGCCGCGGUAAUACGGAGGGUGCAAGCGUUAAUCGGAAUUACUGGGCGUAAAGCGCACGCAGGCGGUUUGUUAAGUCAGAUGUGAAAUCCCCGGGCUCAACCUGGGAACUGCAUCUGAUACUGGCAAGCUUGAGUCUCGUAGAGGGGGGUAGAAUUCCAGGUGUAGCGGUGAAAUGCGUAGAGAUCUGGAGGAAUACCGGUGGCGAAGGCGGCCCCCUGGACGAAGACUGACGCUCAGGUGCGAAAGCGUGGGGAGCAAAC